ensembl:lncRNA
CCUCUUCCUGUAAAAUUAAGAAUAGUGCCAACCUCAAAGAGUUUGUUAAAUGUGAAUUUUAAUACAUGUGGAGUGCUUAGACCUGCCUGGUUGUCUGGGACAGCUAGAACAUGCAGUAUUUCAUAUGCUAAUAACCUAUUUUGCUGACUGGGGGCUUCUUUGAAGCCAGGAAAGACUCAAGGCCGCUUAGCCUUGAAUGUUAGUGCUAGAGGUGUGUAUACAAGGAAAUUUUUGUCAUAUAGGAAAACAUAAACAUUAAAUUUCAAACACUGAAGCACAAAGAAUGAUAGAGGAGAAAGAGACUGGCUGUCUCUAGGGUUUUAUGACUAGAUGGACAUAAAUGAUGUAAGGAAUUAAGAGAGAGACCAUUCACACCACAACGGCUAUCCCACUGCUCCUGGUCUUGGCAAAAGUUUGGCUAGAACAAAGAACCAAAGGUCAUCCCAAAUGGUGUCACAUACUAAGUCCCAGGUAGGUAUUGUAUAUCUUAUUGAAAGAAUGAUAGGAAUUAUUUCCUGAGAAAGAGGCAAAAUCCAUUUUAAGCUAAUGAAUAUGAGUGUGCAAGUAAUUUUGAAGCUGGAAAUUGCUUUGCAUUCCACUGACACAACAUAAAAAGUGGCAUUGUGGUAACUUAGUAAUAUGUUGGGUGAACCUGCCAUUCCAUGCACAGAUACAAUAAAUUUCAGUAAACAACAUAAAAUUAAGAUGCCAUUUGAUCAUCAACAAGCUAUACAAUCUCUCUAGGUUGCCAAAAGAACUAAAAUGUUCAACGUUUGUGACACUUAUAAAUUGAAGUGAGAAUUCCAACCCUAAACAAGAGAUUCUUUUUGAAUGCCUAUCUCUAGAUAACAUAAUAUUUUAAUGUAUUUUUAAAAUGCACUUUUUAUUUUAGAACGACUUUACAUUAACAUAAGAACAGCAGCAUGUAGAGAGUUCCCAUAUAUAUCCCACACUCAAUUUUCCCUAUUAUUAGUAUCUUUCAUUAGUGUGGGAUAUUUGUUAAAAUUAAUAAAAUAGCUAUUCAUACAUUGAUAUUAACUAAAGCUCAUAAUUUAUUGUCUUCCUUUGUUUUUACCUAAUGCUCUUUUCUGUUCCAGGAUCCCACUUAGGAUACCACAUGACAUUUAGUAGCCAUUUUUCUUGGGAUUCAUCUUGGUGGUGACAGUGAUUAUAAUAUUUUUACAUUAUAAAUAUAAUUACAAGUAAAUUGAAAAGUUAAUACAUACUUGGGUUGAUUUGAAAACUUCUUGACAGAAACAUCUCUUUCAUGUUUUCCCACUUCAUCACAUGCAAAUCAUAAAUAUGUCUUAUUUCUAAUAUUUUAUCAAUGUUUAGUAUUUCAUCAAUAUCCUAUAUUUCAUCUAAUAGUUAAUUAGUGCCAUUCUCUGGAAAUAGAAGGGCAAAAACUGUUUGAGCUUGGAAGAGACUAUUGGAAGAAAAAAAUAAAUCAUAGA